UACGUAGGGUGCGAGCGUUAAUCGGAAUUACUGGGCGUAAAGCGUGCGCAGGCGGUGAGUUAAGUCCGUUGUGAAAGCCCCGGGCUCAACCUGGGAAUGGCAGUGGAAACUAGGGGACUGGAAUCUGGCAGAGGGGGGUGGAAUGCCGCGUGUAGCAGUGAAAUGCGUAGAUAUUGGGAGGAACACCGGUGGCGAAGGCGGCCCCCUGGACCGGUACUGACGCUGAGGCGCGAAAGCGUGGGUAGCAAACGGG
rnacentral:rRNA from 1 species